AACGAACGCUGGCGGCGUGCUUAACACAUGCAAGUCGAACGCGAACGUUUUCUUCGGAAACUAGUAGAGUGGCGCACGGGUGAGUAACGCGUAAGUAAUCUACCCUCGCAUCUGGGAUAACCCACCGAAAGGUGUGCUAAUACCUGAUACGUCUGGAAUUAUACUUUGAAUCUAGAGAAAGGUGGCCUCUUCAUGAAAGCUACUGUGCGGGGAGGAGCUUGCGUACCAUUAGCUAGUUGGUAGGGUAAGGGCCUACCAAGGCAUUGAUGGUUAGCGGGUCUGAGAGGAUGAUCCGCCACACUGGAACUGGAACACGGACCAGACUCCUACGGGAGGCAGCAGUGAGGAAUAUUGCGCAAUGGGGGCAACCCUGACGCAGCGACGCCGCGUGGAUGAUGAAGGCCUUCGGGUUGUAAAAUCCUGUCAGAUGGGAAGAAGUGCAUUAUGUCCAAUACACAUAAUGUUU
rnacentral:rRNA from 1 species